CUAGCCGUAAACGAUGGAUACUAGGCGUUGAGAGGAUCGACCCUCGCAGUGCCGUAGCUAACGCGUUAAGUAUCCCGCCUGGGGAGUACGCGCGCAAGCGUGAAACUCAAAGGAAUUGACGGGGGCCCGCACAGGCGGUGGAGUAUGUGGUUUAAUUCGAUGCAACGCGAAGAACCUUACCAGGGCUUGACAUGUCCGGAACCCUGCCCAAAGGUGGGGGUGCCUACGGGAGCCGGAGCACAGGUGGUGC
rnacentral:rRNA from 1 species